UUUGUUUAGACGCGAUGCGGAAAUACAUUAAGCAUUGUUAAUAACAUACGUGCUGUAUGAAUUCUACUUUAUUUAAAAUAAUAAUAAUAAUAAUAAUAAUAAUACCGUGUUGUUGAACAGUAAACCUGCUCAGUAUUAUAUUUAACCGUGCAUGAUAUCGUGCAUUAUAUCAGUGGGUGUCGGGUUGAUUUUCGAGUGAACGAAUCGUGUUGUCGUCAUGUCUAAAGUUGAGCGUCUGAACGCGCGUGUAAUGAAGUUACUGACAUCAGCAGUGAAUGAAGUGACAGAGAUCAUCAUACAAACAGUUUGUGAAUAUCAGGAGAAAACAGCCCGAACACACAGAGAGAACGAAAGACUGCGGAGGAAAUUACAAGAGCUACAGGAGAAGCUGGACAAAGGUUCUCAGCCCAUCUCUGGACAAGACCUGUCAACUCAAUGUCAAUGCAGUCAGCACUCAAACACCAGUACAGCAGUGCACAACAGAACACAUCUCAAACAGGACCCAUGCAGUAAAGGAUACCUGCAAAACUCGGACUAUAUCUGUGUUGAGUUAACAUUACCUGAACUAAAUGAAGCAGAAAGAGACGCGUGUGGCUCAAAUGAGAGUGCUGUGGCGUGCGUGAGCACCUCUCACCACCAGACCUGUGACAAACCUACUGCUAGUAAGAUAUCCUCGAAUGCAUCUGCAGCAAGCAUUAUAUCUCAAAGUGAUAAGAGUUUAUCUCCUCAUGAAAUCAAGACUGAACCUGAAAACCAAUUUGCAGAAGAACCGUUUCCCCAGAACGGCUUCAUUAUGAACACAAAGGCAAGCUUCAUAUUAGCUCAGAGUGUACUUCCUCCACAGACGCCUGUAGCUGAUGUAGAUCUUUCUGCACUGGCUUCCUGUGUCAGUGCCGAUGCAUUCAAUUCAUCUGCGGAGACGUUCUCCUAUGAUGAAGAUCCGAAUUUGAUAUCAGACAGCCAGCAGCCUAGACAAGGCCAACUAGAUAAUGAUGCCCGCCCCAGCUGCCUCAUAUGUGGAAAAACUUUUAGUAGAAUUGGGAACCUCCGUAUGCAUCAACGCUGCCAUACUGGCGAGAGACCCUACACGUGUAUCUACUGCGGCCGGCACUUCAGUCAUGCUGGAAACCUCCAUAGGCACAAAAGAGUUCACACAGGAGAACGACCGUACAGCUGCCAGCAGUGUGGAAAAACUUUCAGACAGGCCAGUCAUCUGCAGAAACAUCAGCGAAUACAUGUUUUUACACUGCAUUGCAACAAUGCAGGAAAUGUGCAACAAAGUGCGACAUGCACCUUAUUUCAUUCAUAAACUCUGUAUUUCUCUGUCUAGUUGUCUCCUCUCUUGCCAGUUUUAGCUAUAUGGUAUGUUUGUAUGUAUAUCAGUUAUUAAAAAAGCAAAUUUUGUUCCUAGAAAUUAUAAAAUGGUUGCUAAUUUUCUGUUUAGUGUCUUACAGUAGUUUGUUCUGGCUGGAGGUUGAAGCAAAGCUGGCUUUGGCAUCAGUUUGGCACCAAGUUAAAGGCUCAAUUAUGAAAAUGAAAUGUAAAUGAUGUCAUCAUUUACUCACCCAAAUGUUGUUCCAUAUCUAUUUCACACAUGGAACACAAGAGUCAAAUUCAUAGGGGUCAUUUUAACUCUCAGAGAACUAGGCAGCAUUACAUUUCAAAUUUGUAUCCCCUUCCCUCACAAAUUUCACUCCGUCUCACUGUUUACGUUGCGCAAGUGUCCACUACUGGCGGAAGAUGUGCAAGGGGUUUAACUGGAACACCCUUAACCCUUGAUCGCUUGGAGCAUGUUGAAAGCUGAUGUCAAUUAGUGGAAUUAUUUAGUGAUUUUUGCACCUGAGAAAAUGUUUUCGGAGAUCGAUUUCAGAGGCUUCUGUAUAAAUCUCUAAUGUUUACAUUUUCUUUUUCUUCGUUAGAAUGAAUUGUUAGAAAGGAUUAAUCAAGAUUUACACAAACAAAAAUGUUAACAUAACAAUGAACACAUAGGCUAUAAACAGUGUGAUAAACAGUUUAAGGUAGCUACAAGUAUUAUGCUGUUAAAUCUCAAUAUAAAUUUUCUAAACUGCUUAAUUGACCUAACUUCACUUCCAUCAAACAUUAGAGUUGUGUGGAGGUGGGGUUGAUGAAGCGCGAUAUGCUGUCAAGUCACAAUCGAGUUGCAUUGUGGGAUAUGGAGCUGCCUGAAUCAAUCAGAGUAGGCUCGCUCCCUCGGUCAAAAUCGAGGGGUUAAGGUUCUGUCAACAGAAACUUCCCUCAGUCACUAAACAAAGUGGAACGGACUUCCAAAAUGGCAGCGGGGAUUCCACCGAAGGGAAGUGCUUUGGGUAGUUAGCGAGUGGAUGUUAAAAGUGAAGUGGAAUGCAGCCCCAGAUUGGCAGAAUUGCAACAUUUGUUUUAAGGAAUUAAAUGAUAUCGAAUAUUCAUUAGGGUAAAAACAGGGGCCUGGGUAGCUCAGCAAGUAAAGAUGCUGACUACCACACCUGGAGUCACAAGUUGGAGUCCAGGGCGUGCUAAGUGACUCCAGUCAGGCUUCCUAAGCAACCAAUUGGCCUGGUUGCUAGGGUGGGUAGAGACAUGUUGGGUUAACCUCUUCGUGGUUGCCAUAAUGUGGUUCUCGCUCUUGGUGGGGCACGUGGUGAGUAGUGUGUGGAUGUCGCGGAGAAUAAUGUUUAGCCUCCACACGCGCUAGGUGUCUGCGGUAACGCGCUCAACAAACCACGUGAUAAGAUGCGUGGAUUGACGGUCUCAGACGCAGAGGCAACUGAGAUUCGUCCUCUGCCACCCAGAUCGAGGCGAGUCACUACGCCACCACGAGGCAUUCCAAAUUGGGGAGAAAAAUCCAAAAAAAUACAAAAUAUGGGUAAAAAUGACAUAAAAACUACACAAAGCAAUAGCUAACACUCUGAACUGUGUCACAUCAAAAACUUUGGUGGGGAAAAUGGCAUAUUUACUGCCACAGCAUGCUAAAUUCACACAAAAAGGUCACAGCUAGUUGCUGCAAUUGCUGACACUUUUGGAAAACAUUUAGCAAUUUUCUAAAUAUUUAUUUGACCUGUAAUAUUUAGUAACAUUUACUGAUUGAAAUAAUUUUACAUUAUUAUGCAUUAUAUUUUAUAUAUCACCAGUGGCUUCCUAAAAAUGCUUUAAAUGAGUUUUUUUCUUCUUCAUUAAAUCUAUGCUUGGGUCUCUGAUGGUUAAAUAUGACAAAUUAUUUGUUUAUAAUUUAUCAUAAAUUUGUGUAUUUCAUUUAUGGGCUGUUAAAAGAUGGUCAGUAACAAACUAUAAAUAGUUGGCUCUAUCUGUGAUUUAUAAUAAUUUUAACAGCAUUUGAGUGUUAUGUGCAAUGUAAUAAAAUGAAACUGAAGUUUAUAUUUUAAUUUAGUAUAUAAAUGGCAUAUGUAUUGUAUGAGAAAGUCUCUAAAAUGUGUUGUGUUUUAUUAGAAAGUUGCAGUUGCCCAAUUUUGCUGUUGUAAGGAUAUGGACUUUUAUUUUGAAAUCAGAUGUAACCGGAAGUGAAAGUGUUGUGCUACAUAUUGCUCUGUGGACUGACGUCAAUAAAUAUCUGAGUAAAUAUAUAAAUUGUAAUUAUCGUGAAUAAAGUAAUGAAGGGAUAAGACAGAUAAAUGUCAAUACAUUUGAUUAUUUUAAUGUGUCAUUACGUUAGACUGUUUUAUUGACGUUUGAUCAGGCCGAUCAGAUAUUUAACAGUGAGCUUGUGUUGAUCAGAUUAACUCAAGUCAUGUCCAAACUCGAGCACCUGAACUCGAAGGUCGCCAAACUACUGACGGUGGCAGUUCACGAAGUUCUUGAGAUUGUGAAAGAGACCGUAUCACAAUAUCAGGAGAAAACGGCGAGAACACAGCGAGAAAAUGAACGACUGCGCAUAAAAUUACGAGAAGCUCUGGAGAAGUUGGCCAAAGAGAGAGAGGUUUCCGGACAUGCCACCAUCUCCAAAUCAUUUAACUGUGUCCCUCACCAGCAACAGAUAAACAAGCUCUCACACACAAACUCAAACUUCACUCAGACUCAAACACAGAGCGACUGCAGUCACAUGACUGAUCCAGAGACAGUGUGUGACCUCAGUGUCGCUCUCACAUUAGCCGGGUGUCAGAAGACAAGUCCAGUUUCAAAAGACAGCACACCUGCAAAAGUUAAAGGCACAGAUUUACUCAGCACUGUUAAAUGGACACGAAACAUUUCACAUGAAUCAAACGCAUCAUCUGCAGACAGCAAGCCAGACGUUACCAUUGAGCACAUUAAGACAGAAUCUGAUUGUAACAAGAACAUUUCUACACAAAUGCAGCUUUUUCAAAGCAGCCAUGACUUUGCAGAAGAUCUGAGUGUCGCCACUUUUAGACAGGAACCUGUUGCUUCAGGUCCAGUAUUAACCGAUGAAUCCAGUGGCUAUGGACUGGCAUUUAUCAACUCCAGUCACAAUACGCCAGAAAGGCAUUUGGGAUACGGGAGGGGUGUCCACUCAACUCCUCAAGGUGAAGAGCAUCACGUUUGCUUGGUUUGCGGCAAGACGUUCAAUCGUGUGGGGAACCUGCGGAUACAUCAGAGGUGCCACACCGGAGAGAAACCAUACUGCUGCCUGAUAUGUGGCCGCUGCUUCAGUCAAGCCGGAGACCUGAAGAAACACAAGCGUGUUCACACAGGGGAGAAACCAUACUGCUGUGCUCGUUGUGGGAAAAGCUUUAGCAGAGGAGAGAACCUCAAACGCCAUCAGAAGAUCCACAUCGGAGAAACAUUACAUCUCCAGCAAUCAGAGAGAAAUACGCAGAUAAACUAGUGUUUAGAAAUGCAACAUAAAUUAAAGACCCCAUGAAAUGAAAAUCAGAGUUUUGUCUAUGCUAGUGUACUCUUAAAAGUUGACACUUUUAGCAGAUAAACACAUUUCUACAAAUGUGGGUCAUUCAAUAUAACAUAUACAUUUUUGUCCAAUAAAAUGAUCUGUAGAGUGACCUUCUGUCUCUGACUUGCCAAUUAGUAAAUCGUGAUUUUGCUAAGCUGGGAUGUUAACCAAAGUCUGUUAGCUAUUUACAAAAAAAGACAAACCCUGUGAUAUGUCUCGGAGUGCUUUCAUCAUUAAAUUAAUUCUUCUUAAUUUAGUUGCAAUAGACGAGGAUUGCUAAUUUUUACUUUGACUGAUUACAAUGUAUCUUCUGGAACAAAAUAUACAAUAAUGUUAUUGGACAGUUUUUUCUGUCCCAUUUUGAGUGGUUAGAAAUUUAUUAUGUUUUGUAAGAUGUAAUUUCUGUAACACAUUUUAUGGUUUGCAUCAGUAGGCUAGCUUUUGCUUGUAAUACAGUAUAUAAUUAUUUUUCUAUUUCAUUCCAAAUGGUUUAGUUGCUUGUAAUUGCGAAUGUCAUGGAAGUUUCAAUAGGACAAAUGCAGAAACAUAAUGCAACCUUUAACCAAAGUGGCCCUAUCACUAAUCCAUUGUAAUUCAAAAAAUAAAUCAUUCCAGGUUGCACUUUACAGUGAUUUUACCACAGGGGUAAAGGCACGAAACAGAUCAUAAAACAGAAUGAAAACCUUAUAAAAUGUGAAAACUGCAAUAUGAUAAAAAAACACACCAAUAUUUAAUAAAUAGGUACAUAUAUUAAUAAUAAUAAAUAUAGCCGCAAGUUGCAAUUAACGGGGUCCAAGCACAAGUGGAGAGAGAACCAAAAUAAUUACAUUUGAAAGAACUGUAGAUACUGUGGACACAACUAUUUUGGUGUCAAAUUUCAACCACUUUGAUCACAGUUAAACAAGUAGGAUUUUAGUUAUAGCGCCCCCAUCAUCUGGAAUUUAUGAGAUUUUGCAUGUGACCUCAAAAUGUUCUGCUGUCCAUGUGUACUGAGUUUUGUUAAGUUAGAUUAUUCAAAUCACAAGAUAUAGGCCAUCUAGUCAUAAUGGGUCAUACCCAAAAUGUAUUAGCUUAUAUCUUCUGAACGAUUUAGCGAAUCAAAAUUCUUUUGAUUAAAUUUUUUCAAGAGGGUCUGUAGAUGAUGUGUACUAAAUAUCAUGUGAAUCAGACAAACAGCCCAGGACGAGUUAAAAAAAAGUACCUUUUAGACUUGAUUCAAAAUGGCCAAUGGGUAAUAUGGCUGACCACAGUAAAAUUAAGAAGUCCAAAGAAGCCAGUCUCAUGAUUUUAGGCCAAAUUUCGUAAAAGUUCUUAGCACAAAAACAAAAAACAAAAAACUGAUUUGACCAGUAGGUGGCGCUGUCCCCAGAAUGCUGAGGAUUCCUCAAGACAUGAUGCUUAUGACAUAUAACACAUAAUUGUUUCACUAUCUCAAAACGUGCAAAGAAAUAGCCUUAAUUCAUUUUUGCAGUGCUUGCUAUCAGAUUUGUUACAUGCAAAGAUCACAGCUAGUUGGCGCAAUUGCUAACAUUUUUGGAACAAAUUUAGCAAUUUUCAAAAUAUUUAAUUGACCUGUAAUAUACAUUUAAUUAGUGUUGGGUUCGAGUCCACCUUAGUCGAGUCCGAGUCAAGUCCAAGUGUUUAAACAGUCGAGUCCGAAAAGGGGCAGAGUCGGACUCAAGGCCGAGUCGAGUCCGAGUCUCAAUGAAUCUGUUCAAGAAUCUGAAUUCGAAUUGUAACCGUAAACUCAACAUCAAUAUUUUAAGCUUAUUUUAAACUUCACAACUAAGAAAAACAGUUUGUCAACAUAAAUGUAACAAAAAAAAAACACUGCUGCAUUUCAUAUAUUCAUUUUAUGAUUAGUUUCCUGCUGAACAGACUUCAAAGGGGUUUCAGAAUAAAGGAUAUGCUUUAGGUGUAUGAAGACAAAACUGUCCUUCAAUUUGUUGCUUUUUCCCCUCCACUCAAACAUAGAC